UUUUUCAUUGGAGAGUUUGAUCCUGGCUCAGGACGAACGCUGGCGGCGUGCUUAACACAUGCAAGUCGAACGGAAAGGCCCCUUUGGGGGUACUCGAGUGGCGAACGGGUGAGUAACACGUGAGUAACCUGCCCUUGACUUCGGGAUAACUUCAGGAAACUGGGGCUAAUACCGGAUAGGAAUCCUUGCUGCAUGGUGGGGGUUGGAA
rnacentral:rRNA from 1 species